CCUACGGGUGGCAGCAGUGAGGAAUAUUGGUCAAUGGCCGAGAGGCUGAACCAGCCAAGUCGCGUGAGGGAAGAAUGUCCUAUGGAUUGUAAACCUCUUUUGUCAGGGAGCAAAGUCACCCACGUGUGGGUGUUGGAGAGUACCUGAAGAAAAAGCCUCGGCUAACCCCGUGCCAACAGCCGCGGUAAUACGGAGGAUGCGAGCGUUAUCCGGAUUUAUUGGGUUUAAAGGGUGCGUAGGCGGGUUAUCAAGUCAGCGGUAAAAUCGUGGAGCUCAACCCGGGCCGGCCGUUGAAACUGGGGAUCUUGAGUGGGCGAGAAGUAUGCGGAAUGCGUGGUGUAGCGGUGAAAUGCAUAGAUAUCACGCAGAACUCCGAUUGCGAAGGCAGCAUACCGGCGCCCGACUGACGCUGAGGCACGAAAGCGUGGGGAUCGAACAGGAUUAGAUACCCCGGUAGUC
rnacentral:rRNA from 1 species